GGGAGCUUAAAGUAGAGGGGGAGAAAAGUAAAAUUGCAAGUAUGGAAAUCUUGUCGCUGCUGGAAAAAGCUCUGCAGUGCAAAAGUGAAAGUGCUAACUUGCACUGUGGAAAGAGAAUAAAAAGAUACAGAAGAGAGAAAUCAUCCUCUUUAACACUUUUUAACUGGCCAGAGAACUGAGGCAGGUUGUUAUGGUAAAGUCUUUGUCCAUCAUCACGAGCUGGUGCAUCCUGCUGGGACUGUUUAUUUUCUUCUGUUGGUGAUACCUAUGGCCUCACACAUCUAAAUGCUUGUGGCGUACUGAAAACUGACUAACGGUUGGGAGUCUGUCCAUUUCUCAGGCAUAUGAGACAAUUAAGUUGAUAUAUGAUAUGAAAGGUUAGAAGUUCUUAAAUUCUGUUGAUGGCACAAACGUCCUUUCAUGGUAUGAGACCUUACUUUCUAUAAUAAUAUUUCCUCUGCCUGGCUUAGUACUUCUUGUCAAGACUUUGCUAAUUUAUGCUGCUUCUCUCUUCUAGAUGUCGAAGUUUCUCCAAGUAUGGAUUCUACUGAUUUUCAAUGAAAGCUGACACAGUAGAAUUCAGCUUAAAUUUGACUAGCAAGAAAGAAGUGAACCUGCCAAAGAAAAUUCUGCUCCCAGCAACAUUACAGAAUAAACCUUGAGUCAGCAAAACAAUACUCAAAAAAUGCUUGGAACUUCAGAAUCGAAUCAAUCAGGAUGCUUUAGAGGAAAAAAUUAUCUGUGCUGGUGCUCAUUACCAAAGCAGAAGCAUGAGUAUCUCCACCCAGAUCUAUUCAAAGGCUCGUGUGUUACCCAGGACCACUGCAAGACUGAGUCACAGCAAAGCUCAAGCUGGGUCUGUCUGUGCUGGGGAGAGAUGGAAAGCGUGGAUGUUCUUCAGGGUGCAAGAAACCUAUCUUGUCACUGCAACAAGUACAAAUCCCUAACUUUAGUGUAAUAUAGAUUUGGGUAUACAGUUUUGAAGAUUUAUUUCCCACUGAAAAACUUGAAAAAGAAGGGGAAAAUAAGUACAAACGUGGGCUAAACUUUGUCAGUUCUAUCUAGAUGACCAAUGCCUCCUGGAUUAUUUUUUUCUUGUGCUUAUGAACUGCAAAAGGAGUGCCAGAAAUAGCAACAUCUGGCAUAAAAUUCAGAUUGUCAGGAAGUCUGAAGUCUGCAGGACACCUUCACACCAGGUCAAGAGAGCUUGAACUUGUUGCCAGGCCUUAGAGAACGCGGCUGAAGUCAGCGAGCAUGUUGUUGAGUCUCAGCAGCCACAUCCAGCAGGAACCAGCCCUUUGUCCAGCUUCUGUGUUAUAAAUGGCUCUGUCUGUAGGAGACCUUGCCUGACGUGGGAUUUACAGAUGCCCAACUCUCUGGUUAUUUGAUUUUUGACGGGAAAUGCUUUGCAGUUAGGAAGCUUGUUGCUGGAAAAAAAUGAAUGAGUUUUUAAAAGUAAUUUGAUGUGACUCUGGAACAUGAAAGUGCAUGACACUUGCUUUAGGUUAAUAUCAUCCAAAUAGCGAUGAGCAUUUGUGGAAAACUCCAACAGAUUGGCUUUAGGAAGAAAAAAAUAAAAAGUAUAUUUGUUGUGUCCUGAUUCGUCUC
rnacentral:lncRNA from 1 species